GAUGAACGCUAGCUACAGGCUUAACACAUGCAAGUCGAGGGGCCGGCGCAAGGGUGCGAAACACGUAUCCACCCUACGCUUUUUUCGGGGCUAGCCUUUAGCAAGAAAGAUUAAUACCCGAUCCAAUGAUUGGUGAUGCGUGCCAUAAGGUUGUUGGUGAGGUAACGGCUCACCAAGCAUUCGAUGGAUAGUGGUUCUGAGAGGAAGGUCCCCCACAGUGGAACUGAGACACGGUCCAAACUCCUACGGGAGGCAGCAGUUAGGAAUACUGGUCAAUGGGCGCUAGCCUGAACCAGCCAAGUAUCGUGAAGGAUGAAGGCUUAUGGGUCGUAAACUUCUUUUAUAUAAGAAUCUGUAUUAUAUGAAUAAGGAUCGGCUAACUCCGUGCCAGCCGCCGCGGUAAUAC
rnacentral:rRNA from 1 species